AACGAACGCUGGCGGCAUGCCUAACACAUGCAAGUCGAACGAGACCUUCGGGUCUAGUGGCGCACGGGUGCGUAACGCGUGGGAACCUGCCCUUAGGUUCGGAAUAACUCCCCGAAAGGGGUGCUAAUACCGGAUAAUGUCUUCGGACCAAAGAUUUAUCGCCCUUGGAUGGGCCCGCGUUGGAUUAGCUAGUUGGUAGGGUAAAAGCCUACCAAGGCGACGAUCCAUAGCUGGUCUGAGAGGAUGAGCAGCCACACUGGGACUGAGACACGGCCCAGACUCCUACGGGAAGCAGCAGUGGGGAAUAUUGGACAAUGGGCGAAAGCCUGAUCCAGCAAUGCCGCGUGAGUGAUGAAGGCCUUAGGGUUGUAAAGCUCUUUUACCCGGGAUGAUAAUGACAGUACCGGGAGAAUAAGCUCCGGCUAACUCCGUG
rnacentral:rRNA from 1 species